GCCGCCAUCGUCUAACGGAUAGGACGCGGCCCUUUCACGGCCGCAAUCGGAGUUCGAUUCUCCGUGGCGGCG
rnacentral:tRNA from 4 species